GAGUCUGACUCGGUUGCCAGGAGUCAUUUGGUAACGCCCCCUGGCUAGCGACGUCACAUCCUACUGAAUAUGUACGGCUGCAGAAGAAGAGAAUACUGUGUUCUGUUUGAGAUGCAGGUGAACUAAAGCAGGGCUGAUGUAAUGCAAAGUUAAGGGCUUCGGAGGAGAGUUAGUACUGUAGGCUAACAAAGAAUGGGAACUGUAGAUUUAUACUUGUGCUUUUGUACAUGAUAUAGCCUUUGCUGACUGAGAACUUAUCUGCAUAGUUAUUAAACAAACAGUGCACCCGAAAGGUACAAGUUGGAGAAGAGAAUUCAGCGCUGUCAGUACUGAGGGAAGCGCUACGUCCCACCUCACCCACAUUUCUUACUGCUAAAAUGAUCUAUUAUCUUUGCCUGUGAUAGUGUGCCUGUUGCAUAUACAAGAAGUGGUGUGUAUGUCAUCUAAAGAAAGAAAGCAGUAACUGACAAAUCUACAAGAGAAAUGUCUCCUGUUGCAAAAGUAUUACAGAACAGUGUUGCCUUAGGUUAUGUGGCGCAUGUGCAAGACAGCUGAUGUUACAUUAGCCGCAUAUUAUAAUCUUGCUGAGAAUUUUCUUCUCUCCAGUGAGCCUGCUUUUUGCUGAGACCUGCUGCAUCGGCAUGCUUUGCCCUACUUCUAAGCAGUUUCUUCUAGGGAAGCUUUAGAUGACAUUCAUCCCUAUUUUGCAUUGCCUUACGCUCUGAUGCUCAUCUAUAUAUAGAUUUUUUAUUCCUCAAUAACCCUGCGGUGUGAAGGAACACCAUGCAAAGCUUAUUACAGGGCUGCAGGAUGGUACGUCAACACGAGCAGCAGAAUCUUUACAGGAUUUUUUUAAUCACCAAAACAAAAUAAUUUGUGCACUGUGGAGAUAUAUUAAAAGCAUUCUUUCUGCAGAAUAGUUGUGUUUUUAAUUAAGAAAAAUUAAUGUUUUGGUAUUAGGUGACAUUCUAGUGUUGUUUUUAAUAAAUACAAAUACAUUUGGUAUUA